AGGAUGCCUCAAAAGUCCUCGGAGCUUAUACACUUCACUUGAUCCUGACACAAUGCUAUUAGCUGCCGCUACGAGGGAACCCUAUUAUUAGCGCUUCUGUUACCAAGACGUUUCUACGGAAGGAUGUUUGACUCUUAAAGUGCCUCUAAUUGUAAGAAACGCGAUGCCUCUUUUAAUCGCAGACAAUAGAAAUCUGUAUCUGCGGUGAAUUAAACGGUGCACGCGAGCGUGCGGAUAGCACUUGCGACUUGAGCCGGGCGAUUGUCUUUACUGUCUUGCGAUCAAUGUUCUCGCGUAAUGUAUGGAUGAAAAGAAUAAAAAAAAAAAAAA